rnacentral:rRNA from 1 species
AUUGAACGCUGGCGGCAUGCCUAACACAUGCAAGUCGAGCGCGCGGCGCACGGGUGUGUAUUGUCUGGGAACCUGCCUGAUGGAGGGGGAUAACUACUGGAAACGGUAUCUAAUACCGCAUACCAUCUGAUUUGCCCCGAUGGGAUUAGCUCGUAGGUGGGGUAACGGCUCACCUAGGCGACGAUCCCUAGCUGGUCUGAGAGGAUGACCAGCCACACUGGAACUGAGACACGGUCCAGACUCCUACGGGAGGCAGCAGUGGGGAAUAUUGCACAAUGGGCGCAAGCCUGAUGCAGCCAGGCCGCGUGUGUGAAGAAGGCCUUCGGGUUGUAAAGCACUUUCAGCGGGGAGGCGUUACCCGAAGAAGAAGCACCGGCUAACUCCGUGCCAGCCGCCGCGGUAAUUC